GAUUUGUAUGCCUAAGAAAGAAUGUAACCCUUAAUCUCUAUAUGAUCCAGGAUGUGGGUGAUUAUGGACCCUUAUUCAUUGUUAAAAUGCUUGAAAAUGUAAUACAGUUGGAAUAACAGUGCCAUGGGAGUCUAGGCAUUAUAUAUUAAAUUCAAAGAGAUUAAAUUGUUAUAGUACCCACAACGUCUCUUUAAUGUAAAUAAUGACUGAAAACAGGUAAAACCUUUAUAGAUUGCCUCUCAUAUAUUAUGGAAAUGUGAGCAUGUUAGAUUUAGACACUAACUGAAAGACAAUUACCAGAUUUUACUAAUU